rnacentral:rRNA from 1 species
AUUGAACGCUGGCGGCAGGCCUAACACAUGCAAGUCGAGCGAGCGGCGGACGGGUUAGUAAUGUAUGUGGAUUUGACCGCUAGAGAGGGUAAACUACUGGACACGGGUGCUAAUACCGCAUAAGUUCGAAUGAUACCAUAUGGGAUUAGCUAGUAGGUGGGGUAAAGGCUCACGUAGGCGACGAUCUAUUGCUGGUCUGAGAGGAUGAUCAGCCAAAUUGGGACGGAGACACGGCCCAGACGCCUACGGGAGGCAGCAGUGGGGAAUAUUGCACAAUGGGCGCAAGUCUGAUGCAGCCAUGCCGCGUGUAUGAAGAAGGCCUUAGGGUUGUAAAGUACGUUCAGCGGGGAGGCGUUACCAGAAGAAGAAGCACCUGCUAACUCCGUGCCAGCCGCCGCGGUAAUAC